GUGUUCAGUCCGCCAUUGCAAACACGAAGCUCUUCCAGAAACGCCCUCACAGACACCCCGGAAGUCACGUACCCACUCUGUAGGUGCCCCGGGGCACAGGCAAGCGGACGAGCCAGUUAUCCCUCAGAGCUCCUGCUGCCUCGCCCGCUUUCUCUCGGAAACGUGAAGUGUGGCCUCAGCUGAAAGUGAGGUGGGCCUCAUUCAAUCAGUUGAAUUCUUCAAGAGAGAAAAACUGAAGUCCCUUAGAAGGAAAGAGUUCUGCCUUCAGACUGUCUUUGAACUUAAGACUGUAGCGUCGACUCCUGCCGGAAUUUCCAGCCUGCUGGCCAGCUCUGCAGAUUCACACUUGCCAGCCUCCACAAUCGCAGCUGAGGCGGAGGAACCCUAAGGGCUCAUUGAGAUCAUGGAUUUGCCCUUCUAUGCAUUGAUGGAGCACCUGCUGCCCACAGCGUCUGUAUUUGGUGCUGGGAUGCUGAGCCUCCUUCUUUAUGAAUUUUUAAAAGGACACUGAGAUCUUCAAACAGAGGCUGCCACUCUAAGCAAACAGAUCCCGAGCCCUGGACUCUGAAGCUUGGGCCCAGUUCUCCUUUUCUCCGGGUUUCAGAUCCCACUGUGAAGUGAGGGGGCCCUUCUGAUUCAGGACCCGGGGAAGCCAGGGGCAUGAGCAUCGGUGCCUCUUCUCUAUUUCAAGGACCCUUCUGGGUGUAAAGUUCUCUGAGAUGCCUUACAUGGAUUCCCACCACUGCAAGAUAACCAUCGUAUGUAAAGUGUUAUGACCAGCAGAGCGUAAUUGAAGUGCAUUCCAGAGGGAAAGACAGCGGCUCAGAGCAUAACGUUCUCAAGGCUCAGCCACACUGUAGCCUGUGUCAGAACUUCAUUCCUGGCUGGGUGCCGUGGCUCACACCUGUAAUCCCAGCACUUUGGGAGGCUGAGGCGGGCAGAUCACUUGCAGUCAGAUGUUCAAGACCAGCCUGGCCAACAUGGUGAAAACCCAUCUCUACUAAACAUACAAAAAUUAGCCGGGCGUGGUGACACACAUCUUUAGUCCCAGCUACUCAGUAGGUUGAGGCAGGAGAAUUGCUUGAACCUGGGAGGUGGAGGUUGCAGUGAGCCAGGAUCACACCACUUCACUCCAGCCUGGGAGACAGAGCAAGACUCUGUCACAACAAACGAACAAACAAACAAACAAAACUUCAUUCCUUUUUAUGGAGGAACACUACCAUAUUUCAUUGUAUAAAUAUACCACAUUUUGUGAUACACCA
rnacentral:lncRNA from 1 species